GGCGAGAUGGCCGAGCAGUCUAAGGCUCCAGACUAAGGAGUGGGAUUUGAACCCACGUCUGCAAGUUAUCUGGUCCGAUCAGGGCGUGGGUUCGAAUCCCACUCUCGUCA